CCCGAUGGAGGGGGAUAACUACUGGAAACGGUAGCUAAUACCGCAUAACGUCUUCGGACCAAAGUGGGGGACCUUCGGGCCUCACACCAUCGGAUGUGCCCAGAUGGGAUUAGCUAGUAGGUGGGGUAAUGGCUCACCUAGGCGACGAUCCCUAGCUGGUCUGAGAGGAUGACCAGCCACACUGGAACUGAGACACGGUCCAGACUCCUACGGGAGGCAGCAGUGGGGAAUAUUGCACCCCGGGCGCAAGCCUGAUGCAGCCAUGCCGCGUGUAGGAAGAAGGCCUUCGGGUUGUAAAGUACUUUCAGCGGGGAGGAAGGCGAUGAGGUUAAUAACCUUAUCGAUUGACGUUACCCGCAGAAGAAGCACCGGCUAACUCCGUGCCAGCAGCCGCGGUAAU
rnacentral:rRNA from 1 species